GAUGAACGCUGGCUACAGGCUUAACACAUGCAAGUCGAGGGGAAACGACGGGGAAGCUUGCUUCCCCGGGCGUCGACCGGCGCACGGGUGAGUAACGCGUAUCCAACCUGCCUCUGACUGAGGGAUAACCCGUCGAAAGUCGGCCUAAUACCUCAUGGCAUCGUCUGCGGGCAUCCAACGACGAUUAAAGAUUUCAUCGGUCAGAGAUGGGGAUGCGUCUGAUUAGCUUGUUGGCGGGGUAACGGCCCACCAAGGCGACGAUCAGUAGGGGUUCUGAGAGGAAGGUCCCCCACAUUGGAACUGAGACACGGUCCAAACUCCUACGGGAGGCAGCAGUGAGGAAUAUUGGUCAAGGGGCGAGAGCCUGAACCAGCCAAGUAGCGUGCAGGAUGACGGCCCUAUGGGUUGUAAACUGCUUUUAUGCGGGGAUAAAGUGAGGGACGUGUCCUUCAUUGCAGGUACCGAAUGAAUAAGGACCGGCUAAUUCCGUG
rnacentral:rRNA from 1 species